AUGAACGCUGGCGGCGUGCCUAAUACAUGCAAGUCGCGCGAACGGACGAGAAGCUUGCUUCUCUGAUGUUAGCGGCGGACGGGUGAGUAACACGUGGAUAACCUACCUAUAAGACUGGGAUAACUUCGGGAAACCGGAGCUAAUACCGGAUGAUAUUUUGAACCGCAUGGUUCAAAGGUGAAAGACGGUCUUGCUGUCACUUAUAGAUGGAUCCGCGCUGCAUUAGCUAGUUGGUAAGGUAACGGCUUACCAAGGCAACGAUGCAUAGCCGACCUGAGAGGGUGAUCGGCCACACUGGAACUGAGACACGGUCCAGACUCCUACGGGAGGCAGCAGUAGGGAAUCUUCCGCAAUGGGCGAAAGCCUGACGGAGCAACGCCGCGUGAGUGAUGAAGGUCUUCGGAUCGUAAAACUCUGUUAUUAGGGAAGAACAUAUGUGUAAGUAACUGUGCACAUCUUGACGGUACCUAAUCAGAAAGCCACGGCUAACUACGUG
rnacentral:rRNA from 1 species